rnacentral:rRNA from 1 species
UACAGAGGUCCCAAGCGUUACUGAGAAUCACUGGGCUUAAAGGGUGCGUAGGUGGUCCGGUAAGUCAGUUGUGAAAUCCCCGGGCUCAACCCGGGAACUGCUUCUGAUACUGGCGGACUUGAGGCCAGUAGGGGUCACUAGAACUGACGGUGGAGCGGUGAAAUGCGUAGAUAUCGUCAGGAAUGCCGGUGGUGAAGACGGGUGACUGGGCUGGUUCUGACACUGAGGCACGAAAGCGUGGGGAGCGAACGGG